CCCAUUCUGGGAGGCCCUCGCCACCCUGCCACCCCUGUAUUCUCUGCUUUUCAUGUGGUAAUUCAUGGUUUAUUUCAGCAGAAAAACAAAACUCUGCCUGAGAAAAGCCUGCCCCACUUGGCCCUCGCUGUGCCUUAGACUGAAGCUGAAAUCCUGCUUGAUUUGGAUUUAUUUUCCGGAAUUAUCUGCGUGUGUGGCAGGGCUGUUUGGCAAUCUCCUGCCCUCUGCAGAUGCUCUGUUCUCCAGGCAGCACUGGGCUCCUGGAAGGAUGCUCCACAUCUCUGCAGGGCAGGAGAGCCUCUGAUGAAAGGGCUGCAAAUUGGGCCAGUCCCCGAGGGAAGCAAUUCCAGGGAUAAAAGCAGAUGCCUGCUUCGAAAAUCAACAGAAGAUAAUCACAAAGGUUGGAAAAGAUCUGUAAGACCAUCGAGUCCAAGCACAAAGCUGGCACUGCCACCAAGCCACGUCCCCAGGCACCACAUCUUCUAAACACCCCUGGAAUGAGCUGCUGCCAGCUCAUGUGCUGAGCUCAUUUCCAGCAGUGGGACAGCUCUGGUGCCCCUGGUUCCCGGGUUUCAGCUCUGAUGAAGGGCCUGUUCCUCUGCUCCUCACCCACAGCUGAGUUCUGGGCAGCAGCAGGCACUGUACAGCCAAGGGGAGCCUCGCUGAGGGGCUUUGCUGGGGCUGCUGCAGGGCGCCAGGGAGGCUCUGCCAGUGCUGGCCCAGCUUUUGGGGGAGGUACGUGAUGCCCAGCUGGGCUGGCAGGGCACUGGGGGCUCUGCCCUGCCCAGCUGGUUGUGUUUGAUCAGCACAGCCUGGCUGUCCCUAGGGCUGCUGGACACUUUGCUCUUGAGGCUCCCUCUCAUGGGGGCGUUGCUGAACCUGUCUCAGGUGAGGGGCAGAGUUUUCCCCUUGCUGCAGUCUGCCAGAAGAAUGCUCUGGAAUUCUGUGCCCAGGUUUGGCUCUGCCAUCCCUGCAAUGCUGUGUGCCCAGCUGGCUGCCCAUCCUGCUGGUUCAUUCCAUGACUUUUGUUCUGUCCAUUCCUGCCCAGUGGGAGAUGUGGGAAGUUUAAUUGAUGGCAGGUCCUUGAGGGCCCUGAACACGUGUGAUGGUGUGUGGUGCUGGCUGGGAUGAGUGUGUUUACAGCUUCUUUUUCUGUCCCUAAACUGCUGCCCCUUUGGUCACUUCUGAGUUCCAAACUGCACACAAACGAAGAGCUGGCUCCCCUGUUUGAUGUGCAGUAAGAUCAUGGAAUUGGGAAUGAGCCUUGCCUGUGAUGGUGCUGCUGCCAGUGCUGCCACCACUGAGAGGAGGCUCUCCUCUCUCGGAGCAGCCUGUACGUUCCUCAGGCCAUUGUAUACAUUUGCUGCCUUUGAUCAAUAAUUUAGGGUAAUCAUUUUGUUCUGUAAAAUUUCCCAAGUCCAUAUAUAUUGCAUGAAAUGCAGAAUAGCCAAUCCCAGAAUGGACUUUUAAAAGCUUUUCAUGAAAGGUUUGGUUUUUUGUUUUUAUUUUAAACUAUGAGGAGGGGAAAGAAGUGGGUCUAGAGACGUGAAUAAAUCUGUUUGUUUGGGGACUUUGAUUCCUGGAGAUUUAUUUUCUCAGUAGUGCUGGGUGGCACUGGGGCUGUCUCCAGCCCCUCAUGCCGGUGGAGCAGCUGAUUUCUGUUUUAUUUUGGCCUCCAGCCCUCGGUGCUGGGUGAGGAGAGGGGCUGGGCUCUGCCCUCCCUGUGCUCCUGCCUGCUGGAGGACAAAGGCUCAGCUAGAGGUGGGAAUCUCUGAGCAUCAGGUGGAGGUGAAAGAGAGAAGGAAAAGCACAACUUCACAGGCUUUCUAUUUUUUUGGAGUGGGGGGAGGUUGAUUUAUUGGCAGUGUUGACUAAGGUCAGAGAAAACAGGUGAGGAGCUGGAUCUGUGCUCUGAGAAGCCUCUGCAGUAGAGUCAGUCUGAGACUCUGCUUUAUUCAUGGAUUUGUUUAUU